rnacentral:lncRNA from 1 species
CGGCGGCGGCGGUGGCGCCGACCACUACUACGACUACUACUGCUACUGCUACUGCUACUCCUACUGCUGCUACUCCUACUGCUGCUACUGCUGCUACUGCUACUACUGCUGCUACUGCUCCUACUACUGCCACGACUAUGACUACGAGUACGAGUACGACGACGACUAUGACGACGACGACGACAACAACUAUGACUACAACGACGACUACGACUACGACGACGACGACGACUACGACUAUGACUACGACUACGACUACGACUACCACUACCACUACGACUACCACUACGACUACCACUACGACUACCACUACGACUACCACUACCACUACCACUACCACUACGACUACCACUACCACUACCACUACGACUACCACUACCACUACCACUACCACCACCACCACUACCACUACCACUACUACUACUACCACCACUACCACCACUACCAAUACGACCACUACCACCACUACCACUACUACCACUACACCACCACCACGACGGCGGCGGCGGCGGCGGCGACGACGACGCCGCCGCCGCCGCCGACGACGACGACUAUGACUACGACAAUGACUACGACUACGACUACUACGACGACUACGACUACGAUGACGACGACUACGACUACGACUACGACGCCGACG